rnacentral:rRNA from 1 species
CACGUAGGGGGCAAGCGUUGUCCGGAUUUAUUGGGCGUAAAGAGCUCGUAGGCGGUUCGGUAAGUCGGGUGUGAAACCUCCAGGCUCAACCUGGAGACGCCACCCGAUACUGCUGUGACUCGAGUCCGGUAGGGGAGCGUGGAAUUCCUGGUGUAGCGGCGAAAUGCGCAGAUAUCAGGAGGAACACCAGCGGCGAAGGCGGCGCUCUGGGCCGGAACUGACGCUGAGGAGCGAAAGCGUGGGUAGCAAACAGG